GCAUUAAUGGGGUAGUGGUAACCUGGGUCGUUGCCACUUGGCAUUGUUCACACAUUGUCGACCCGCCGGGGGUUCGAUUCCCCCUUAAUGCA